CCGCCUGUGUCCACCCCCUGUGCUCCUCCUGUGUCCAUCCCGCCUGUGUCCACCCCGCCUGUGUCCACCUCCCUUACUCCACCAGUGUCUGGCCUCCAGAAGAAAAGAAAAUCAUGUAGGAAUGCAGACAUUAGUGAAUGCCCCAUUCAUCAAGGUCUAAGCGUUUUCCCCUACAAAAGGAUUCUGAGGCAAAGACUCAGAGAGGGUUGUGUCGAGGUGUUGGUGGAGUGGCAACCUUGCUCUGGAUGUGGAGCAAAGUGGAAAAACUCCUGGGAGCCCAAAGACAACGUUCUUCCUUAAAAAAAAUUGUUAAAAUUGUGUUUGUUGUGUUAUGUGACACAAAUUUGUUUUGGUAAGUUGUUUGUUUUCUGUUGUUGGGAAGGUAAUAAACAUAUUGUUUUACUUUCAAACACUUUGUCAUUGUGUUAUAUUAUUGUUGGAUGCAUUUCAUGUAAUUCUGAGAAGCAUCAGCUCGAGGGCUGAUGAAUAUUGGUACCUGAACAACACAAGCGUGAUGAGAUACUUUUGGUGCAGUCUUGUCUUUAAAACACUCCAGUUCAUGCAAAUGAACAUAGCUUCUCUCUUAAAUCUGUCUGCAAACAGCGCACAUCUUUCAUCUCUCUGCCUCUCUCUCUCUGCCACUGUCUCUAACUACCUGCC